rnacentral:rRNA from 1 species
GAUGAACGGCUGGCGGCGUGCCUAACACAUGCAAGUCGAGCGCGGUCCCUUUGGUGCUUGCACCAAAGACGACUGAGCGGCGGACGGGUGAGUAACGCGUGGGUAACCUGCCCUGUACAUAUGGAUAACAUGCUGAAAAGCAUACUAAUAUAUAAUAACGUAUAUUGAAGGCAUCUUCGAUGUAUCAAAGCGUUAGCGGUACAGGAUGGACCCGCGUCUGAUUAGCUAGUUGGUGAGGUAACGGCCCACCAAGGCGACGAUCGGUAGCCGGACUGAGAGGUUGAACGGCCACAUUGGGACUGAGACACGGCCCAG